CAACCCUCGGUCACCACCGGUUUUGAGCAAGCUGGGUCCUACGACCCGGCCGGCUUUAAAGUUGUAAGCUCUGCUGGCCGCUCAGCCCAACCAGAACAUAGUAAAACCUACUUGUUCACGGGUCGAGGUUGAAGCGGUACGGCCUGAACAAAACCUACCCAACUCUAAG
rnacentral:misc_RNA from 1 species